GCCUGCUUUGGCAGCACACAGACUAAAUUGUUGCAAUACAGAGAACAUGAACAAUGCCUCUGCACAAAGAUGACAUGAAUUCAUGAACCAUUUCACAUUUUU